GCAGGUGUCGGCCGUUGGCGGGCCGCGCCCCGUGAGGGGAGGCGGAGGGGGGGUAGGGUACCUGCUCGCGGCCAUGAGCCCUUCUGGGCUCCAGGCUUUCCUCGGCUUUCCCCUCAGCCGCAGUCGGGGUGGUUGUGCCCUCAGCACAACCUAAACCACGCUUCUUUAGAGUAUCUUACGUUUACUUUGCAGAAUUUGCUGUGUGUCCCCCCAGUACAACACUACGCAGCUUGACCGUGAUUUGUAGUCAGGUCGAUUUGCUGGGAUCACCGCUUUGAUCUGAAGAACUACCAGGACGAGAAGUACCUCAUAACAGAAGCACAAUCUUUCUUAACGUUCAUGAUCAGAUGCUGACCUAAACAUAGCAUCCUCUCUGGAGGAUGCCACAAGCAUAUUAGAAGAGUUAUUUCCCUCCAAACGUGCAAGACAAAAAGCCCAAGGAGAGUGUUUCAAAUGCUGCUCCAUAUAAUUGUCGAUUAAUAUCAGCACGGUCGUGGCCUCAAGGUCACGCUAAGUGGAUCACCCAGAUGGUCUGUCGAGAUGCCACAUUGCAGUUGUCCUUAAGAAAGUUUUCCCAGUGAAGGAUGCCGUGCAAAAGUCAGCUGCGUUCAUUGUCAUCUUCCUUGAAAAUCUAAGAAUGACCUAGAAGAUGCUGUUUGUGUGGAUUUGGGGGAGAGAAUUAAUAUAGCUCUUGCUGAGAUUGUAAACACAUUGAAUUUAAGGAACAGCCACAGCUACAGCUACUGGCACAACAGAGGAGGCAGCUGAAUCUAGCCCAGGAGGCAGCAACAAGGGGAGUUGGCUGAUAACCUUUAAAGCUGCAUUAUCUCUUGACAAGGUCCUGAUGUACAGCCACAGCCCGAGUCUAAUACAACAAUGACAUUUGGUCUAUUUAUUGCCUAUAUAUGUACUCAGUCAUUGCUAUCUACAGGAAGAUCUGCCUUGCUGUCCCAACCGUAAUAAUGUCACCUUCUGUCAGAUGGGUUCUACAAGCAUUCCCAUCCUCUGCAGAUCUUCCCAAUGAAAACCUCAUUGCUGUCCACAGCAUGUGUGUGCAAAAGAUAGCAAAUACAGGAGACCCUGGCACAACUGAGCCCCAGUGGAGUCCAGUAGGAAACCAUUGGGAUGAGGCCUGGGGGACCUCUGAUUUUUCUGGUCGUUCUGUAUAACCUUCCUCACCCCACACCAAUAUGCUCUCCAGGGCAAAUCGUCCAGACUGUCCCUGCAAAUGUUGACACCCAGCUCUGCCUGCCGUGGCUGCCUGGCUAGGAAAAUUUGGAUGGGCAGGGUUUGAAGGCAGCUGAGAGCAGGGUGUGCUGGCAUGGAGCAUGUUAAGUAGCCAGGUCCCUUGCCUCUGAAGAGAAUUGAGCCAACACAGGCUGGCAGAAGGGCUGGACCCAGCCCAGCUUAUCCUGCAAGAGAGCUGCGGGACACACUGAGGCGUCACUCUCAUUUCUCUCCAAGCCUCUUCUAAGCCUCCUUCUACCCUACCACAAGAACCAGUAAACAGGAGUAAGAAACAGAAUCAGAAUUUGCUUGCAUUUUAUGAACCAGUCGCAUACAAGCAUAUCGUAUAUGCAAUAGAACAGUGGCAGAGUCUUCAAAACCAGAAGCAUUUCUUCCCUGUGAUCUGAACCACGUAAAUAAAUUUUGUGACUACAUGUAUUUAAAUAUAGUUCAAAGUCUUACUGACUUGAAGACAUGAUGCACAGAGGAAAUUAAUUUAUCUGGGACUGCAACAUCAAAGACCUUGAAGAAGGCAGUACAGAUGACUGUCACCACAAUUCUGUUCAUAUUUGUGACUUUAAAUGCUGCCGUUUGUAAACAAAAGGAAUGAGAAAACAGCCAAUUUAAUGUCUGCAGACAGAUCACCGUACCUGCCUGCUUUGAGGAAACAGGAAAUCCUCUGUCCUUAAGAGAAGCAGGACCAUAUGGGCCAGCACAGCACAGCAGGGCACAGGCAAAGGAUGGGCAAGUCUUUUCUAUAAAUAUACUGACAGCAACAGACAUCCCAAGCCACCUCCCACUGCAAGCCUGUGACACCAGUACCACAGCACAGCACAGCAGCCAUUCUUUUAUUCCGGGAAGCCAUGAGGAAAAUGCAGCCUCUUGGCAGGGCAGAUACACCAGGCAGAGGACAUGUGUUUUGCAGCAGUGUCUGUCUUUCUUUGAGAUUUCAACUUAAUGAUAUGCCCACUGUCAGCUAAGCUUGUCCUCAUUACCUGAGCUAUCCUGUCAGCCUCCCACAAAGUGGCUAAACCCAAGUUUGCUGUACUUGCUAAAAAAUGGUGAGACAUUUGAAGCAGAAUCAAGAUUUAUCCAUGAUGCUUCAUACAAAAUUCUUGCAAUGCAGUCAAAGGUUUAGUCUCAUCUCUAACUAAACACUAAUGAUACUGACAAGUAUUUUUGUAGCAACCCCCCUGUACCCUAAUUUUCCAGCAGUAUUUGAAAGGAAAUGUAAACUGGUAGCAAUGACUGUCUCCAAGGCAGACAAGUUUGUCUGUUGCCUCAGUGUUGUGAAACUGUAGUUGUGAAACAGCAAUUGGAAGAAGCCUAGCCCAAGACACAAAAAGGGUGAUCUGUGCUACUGACUUGAGAAAGAAAACUGUCCAGACACUUUAAAAAUAAAUAACACACUGGGAUCUUUUAACUUAUUUCUGUAGUUAUUGCCAACCACAUACUGAUUUCAAAUCUUUUUAUUUUACAAAACUGCCAGCAGUGAAACUUGGCAGGGACUUCUCUGAGGAAGACAGAGAAGAUGAAUCAUGAUCAUACAGAUACAGCACUGCACGUAUUUAGCUGUGAAAGCUGUGUAUUUUGUAAAUGCAGACUGGCCAUGCCAAAUUUCAUUCUUCUUUCAGUUACAAUACAUUUGAAUAUUAUCAGAACCUGUAAAGUAAAAGUGGUUCUACCAGAGACAUUUUUGGAGAUCAGAAUUCAAAGUUCUGACAGGAAAUAUGUAUUACAGUUCCCUAGAACAAUAAGUAUCUUGAAAGUAAUGUGUGAAGGUAACAUCUCGUGUAGGCAAGCUCAAGUGAAGGUGGGAGGAGAGGAGAGGAGAGGAGAGGAGAGGA